UAACCCAUUCCGUUCCCUCGGAAAAGUGACCGCGUUUGCGUACGCUUUACGAGCUUAGACGCCGGCGUCCGCGCGAAAGCUUUAACCUUUCCGAGAAACGUACACCGCUGAAAUAAACAUGUGCACAAUGACGUCACGGUUCUCCGUUGGCGACCGUCGGCCAAAAAUACCUCACCCUGUCGCGAUUGUUGCAUUGCCACGCACCCAUCGAUCGCGCACCUACUGGGUAUGUAUAGGGUGCUGUGUAUACACAGGGUUGUUCCAUUCAACGACUUUUCCAUGGUAGAUCAUUUGUCAUCUCUCAACAUUUGACCAUGUGGUACCGCUUAACACGCUGACAACCAUUUGCCUAAUCGAACAGUUUCAAUAAACGAAUCAACCACUUCCGUAAAGGAAUGCUAUACUUUUUAGAUUCGUGGAAACGCUUGCGGUUUUAUGUGGCUAUUCUGUCGGGUCGAAUUGUGCGGUAAAUUACAGCGUCGCUCGUCAAGUAUUUUGGGAAAACGGGAUCCUCCUGGUGAAUGGUUUCGCGAUGCAAUUGGGAAAGUUUAAAGAGAAUACAAGAAACGUUUUCACUGAAUCCACAUUCGUACGAAAAUAUCACUCGUUGCAUCUAAAAUAAAAAGUUAUAAUGGAUCGAAGAGAAUAAACUGUAACUGUUUUAAAAUUAUUUUGAAAAUACCUUGUUUUCCUAUCCGUCUUUUGUACCCUCCUACCGUUUGUUUCCUAGUAUCAUUGCUCCGAAACUUGUCGGUGCCCUUGUUAAUUCCGUUUUAAAAUAAGCCGAUAAUUUACGUAGAGAGGAAUAUUAAUAUCGUUUGAACCUUGAUGAAAAGAAACAAGAGAGCUCUAUCCAGGGAUUGGUUAUACCGUGGUGUAACCAUUCUCGUUUCAACGCCUCUACUAGUAAUCGCAUUUCGAACA